GUUUCCAGGUGACGUUCCAAUCAACCCUAUGGCGUAGGACUUGAUUCUUUUUCACUGCUGGUUUUUUAUUUUUAUUUUAAAAUUAUUUUUAAACAACGGAGCAAAUGAUUGUUCCUCCUCGGUGAAGAAAAUUAAGGAAAUAAUCGCGUGCCAUGAGGCACAAGCAAUAUUUGUGCCAUGCUUUGCUCAUGGGCCUUUUCCUCAUCGCCCAUGGGAGGAUACACAAACCGUCAGUUAAGGGCGAUGUGAGAAAAUUCAUAGCACUGAGCACUUUUGGCUUUUACAAUGGUGGAAGUUUGGACGUGAAAUUGAGGAAUUUUCAUGCAGAAGGGGCCGCUCCUGACGAUUUAUUUGGUUUUAGCCUUGAUCGAACCUUGACCGACGGCAUGGGACCGGAUGUUGAUAUCCAUCAGGUACACUGUCUAAAUGAACCGCGUAAUCCUGUGCGUGUUCCAUCUGUACUUUUUAUCAUGGAUAGAAAGAAUAAUGUAUUGCGUAUAAAUUCUACAUACGAGCUGAAAUUGCACAUUUUUAAGGAUAAUAGCCAACUUGCGGCAUUUUUAAGGCUGAGAGAUUCGCUAAGCGAUGAUGUACUCUUCAGUACGAGAGGGACUGUCAAUGGUAACUUCCCGAAAAGAAGCAUUGCGGAGGAGGAGCAGACUAUUCCUCUAAUUCAACCUCAGCCCGGUUAUUACAAUACAAGCUUUGUCAUUUAUGUCUCGAGGGAAAAAGACGAAGGGCUGUACAAUCUCUAUUUUUUCAACUGCCGUAACUACAGACCGAAUCCUAUACCAGUUGAAUUUGAAAUUGAUAUAGUGGAAAAGAACAAAGAGAAUUAUCUUUCUGCUGGAGAAAUGCCAUUACCCGCACUUUAUUCUAUGAUGUCUUUAUUGUUCUUUCUCUCCGGAUGUUUUUGGGUGUUUAUCCUUGUUAAAAGCAAGCAUACUGUAUUCAAGAUCCAUUAUCUCAUGGCGACUCUUGUCUACCUCAAGUCUCUCUCGCUAUUGUUUCAUGCCAUAAACUACCAUUUUAUCGAGAAAAAAGGAGAACAUGUUGCUGCUUGGGCGAUACUCUACUACAUUACACAUUUGCUGAAAGGUUCAGUUUUGUUCAUCACGAUCGUCCUCAUCGGUACAGGAUGGACUUUCAUCAAACAUCUUCUCUUUGAGAGGGACAAAAAGAUUUUUAUGAUCGUUAUACCUCUACAGGUCUUGGCGAAUGUCGUUAAAAUAAUAAUCGAAGAGUCAGAAGAAGGUGAUGUCGAACACAGGACUUGGCUGGAUGUUUUUAUUUUAGUUGAUCUCCUUUGUUGUGGAGCAAUUCUUGUCCCUGUUGUUUGGUCAAUCAGGUAUUUACAAGAAGCUGCCUGCAUCGAUGGCAAAGCCGCUAUAAAUUUACGAAAACUCAAACUGUUCAGGCAUUUUUAUAUCCUUGUUGUUUGUUACAUAUACGUCACAAGGAUUGUUGUUUAUCUCCUAGAGAUGACGGUGUCAUUUCAAUACGAAUGGCUGGACGAGAUGUUCAAAGAAAUGGGAACUUACGUAUUUUUCGUCCUCACCGGGUAUAAAUUCAGACCUGCUUCGGCCAAUCCUUACUUCCAAGUCAACAACGAAGAUGAUGAUACAGAAGAAAUAAUAAUUAGCCAAUGCGGUUUGACUGAAGGGCUCAGCAAGCUUGCGACAAUAGCAAAUGAUCAGAAUGAAGAAGAAAUCGAUCAUUUACUCGUUUCAAAAAGGGAAAGUAGUCAUGAAUAUGACUAAUUUGUAGAAACUGUAUUUUGUAAAUAUCAUUUUCCACCAAUUGCUGUGAAGCUUUUUCAUUUUCUAAUAGUUGUAUGGCCAUAGUGUAAAUAAAAUAAAUGUAACUAAAUUUUUAAUAUACUUAAUCUUUAACUUUUGUUCUUAAUCUUAAAAAAAAAAAUCGACACUAUAAAUAUGUCCUGUCGCUAGUCAUGUAUUAUUUUUUUUUUAAAUUACAAAGCUAUAAAAAAAUUGCAUAUUAAUAAAUUAUCAUAUAUCGUCCACCUAUUUGUUUUGUAAUAUAAAUUUUGGUUUAUUAAUUUACGUAGUUUAACUUUUAAGAAAAGAUUUUAUAGCCUUUUAAAAAAUAUUAUACGGAAUCUUUCUUAGGUGUAAUCUUGGUUCAGUUUUUGUAGAAUAUUCUGUUUUUUAAUACGAUUUUCGUUUCAUAGCACGUAGUGAUGUCAAAAUAUAAGCAUUUGUCAAGAUUGCUAAUCAUUUUGAAAGCAAAAAACCAAAUUACCUCAAGGAUUACGCUGGGAAAAAGAAAUUAUAAAAAAAAAAAUAUACAAAGAAUGACUAUGUUGAAGAAUCGCUUUAGAUUAAAUUGAUAAUAAUAGAUUUAGACAAUUAAGAAUGUAUUAGAUCCACUUUUGAUGACUAUGAGCUAACAUAUCUGUAAACCUUGUCCAUUGUCUUGUUUUUGGGGGGAGGCAAAGAUUGUAUCUAAAUUGAACAUCCUGUGUACAAUUUGUAACUUGAUGCUUGCCAAGCAGUCAUGCACCUAGAUGGAAAAAUGAUGGAACGCAACUGAAAGACCGACACCAAGACAGAAAAACCAAGGCGAUAAGUUUCAAAUUACAGGUUAUCCUGUGGAGAUUACAAAAAUUCAACGAUUUUAAAUUUAUAAGGACAACAGGGUGUUCAAGGAAAAUAUUUUGCAGUGACAUUUUCUUUGAAGGAAAUUGUGUUUCCUCUGAAAUGAAUACUCAAACUGGAACAUAUGGUAUACUUUGUGGGGUGAAGAACAGU